rnacentral:misc_RNA from 1 species
AACUAACGCUAUUAUUGAUACAGUUUCUGUACUUUAUUGGUAUGAGAAGCUUCCGGCAAAAGCACCCAGUGCUAGCACCGGAAAAUUUUGGAAUCGAACC